rnacentral:rRNA from 1 species
AUUGAACGCUGGCGGCAGGCCUAACACAUGCAAGUCGAGCGAGCGGCGGACGGGUGCGUACUGUCUGUGGACUGCCCGAGAGAGUGGUCUAACUACUGGACACGGUAGCUCAUACCCCCUCCUAUCGUAUCACCCAUAGGGGAUUGGCUAGUAGGUGCGGUAAUGGCUCACCUAGGCGACGAUCCCUAGCUGGUCUGACAGGAUGAUCAGCCACACGGGGACUGAGACACGGCCCAGACUCCUACGGAGGCAGCAGUGGGGAAUAUUGCACAAUGGGCGCAAGCCUGAUGCAGCCAUGCCGCGUGGAUGAAGAAGGCCCUAGGGUUGUAAAGUACUUUCAGUCGGGAGGCGUUAACGACAGAAGAAGAACCGGCUAACUCCGUGCCAGCAGCCGCGGUAAUAC